UGCGUAGGUGGCGGGGUUAGUCAGGUGUGAAAUCUCGGGGCUCAACCCCGAAACUGCACUUGAUACUGCCUUGCUAGAGUACUGGAGAGGAGAUUGGAAUUUACGGUGUAGCAGUGAAAUGCGUAGAUAUCGUAAGGAAGACCAGUGGCGAAGGCGAAUCUCUGGACAGUUACUGACACUGAGGCACGAAGGCCAGGGAGGCAAACG
rnacentral:rRNA from 1 species